AAGCAGUUUCUUUGUUACGGUGUCCAAGUGUGCAUAUCCGUCUGCAAAUGUUGAAGAAUUCAUUUUUGUGCAUGCUUGACGCAGCCACCUCGACGAAUGCUCCUCCCAUUCUCUGAUGAACAAGCCUUUGAACGCGCACUGCACCAAAGCAACGAAACGCGGGCUGACGCUUCAGAGACAAGUCCUCGCUGCUCGAAAAGCUCUAGAGUUAAUGCAAUUGAGUGGAAUCUGAAUGGAAUUGAAUCUACCAAAAUCAGUAAUAAUUAUCAGUGAAGAAUGGGUAGAGAUACCACUACCACCAGGUACCACUACCAGGUACCACUAAGGACCAUAAAUUGAAGAAGGGGGACAUU